rnacentral:rRNA from 1 species
UCGAGCGGCAGCGCGGGGGCACCCUGGCGGCGAGCGGCGAACGGGUGAGUAAUGUAUCGGAACGUACCCAGUCGUGGGGGACAACUAUCCGAAAGGAUAGCUAAUACCGCAUACGUCCUGAGGGAGAAAGCGGGGGACCGAAAGGCCUCGCGCGAUUGGAGCGGCCGAUAUCGGAUUAGCUAGUUGGUGAGGUAAAGGCUCACCAAGGCGACGAUCCGUAGCUGGUCUGAGAGGACGACCAGCCACACUGGAACUGAGACACGGUCCAGACUCCUACGGGAGGCAGCAGUGGGGAAUUUUGGACAAUGGGGGCAACCCUGAUCCAGCCAUUCUGCGUGAGUGAAGAAGGCCUUCGGGUUGUAAAGCUCUUUCAGCAGGAACGAAACGGUGGUCCUUAAUACGGGCUGCUAAUGACGGUACCUGAAGAAGAAGCACCGGCUAACUACGUGCCAGCAGCCGCGGUAAUACGUAGGGUGCGAGCGUUAAUCGGAAUUACUGGGCGUAAAGCGUGCGCAGGCGGUUCUAUAAGACAGAUGUGAAAUCCCCGGGCUUAACCUGGGAACUGCGUUUGUGACUGUAGGACUCGAGUGUGGCAGAGGGGGGUGGAAUUCCACGUGUAGCAGUGAAAUGCGUAGAGAUGUGGAGGAACACCGAUGGCGAAGGCAGCCCCCUGGGUCAACACUGACGCUCAUGCACGAAAGC